UUUCAGAUCACGGGGACAACUAUCCCUUUGACGGUCGGGGAAACACCCUUGCUCAUGCGUUUGCCCCGGGGCCAGACCUGGGAGGAGACGCUCACUUCGAUGAAGAUGAAAAGUGGACCGAAGGUUACAAAUCAGGAAUUAACUUGCCCUUUGUGGUCACUCACGAACUCGGCCAUUCUUUGGGACUGGGCCAUUCUUCGAAUCCUAAUGCUGUGAUGUACCCUACCUAUAAUGAAAAUGAGCCAUGGGAUUUCCAGCUGUCCCAGGACGAUAUCAGAGGGAUUCAAAAAUUAUAUGGAAAGAAAAGGAAUGUUUGGGAUGUAUACUACCGAGGAGAAAAUACUCUUUCAUAAGACUAUGUCGCGACUUUCCCAAAAUGUCUCUAAAUUAAAAUGGAAAGGGGAAAACAACAAUUUAAGAUGAAAAUAUAUGGCAAUGAAAAUCAGUUUAUGUAAUGCAGUGCUUCAUUUCCAGGGCUCUACAGCU
rnacentral:lncRNA from 1 species